UACGGGGGGAGCAAGCGUUGUUCGGAUUUACUGGGCGUAAAGGGCGCGUAGGCGGUCAGCACAAGUCAGUUGUGAAAUCUCCGGGCUUAACUCGAAGAAGUCAACUGAUACUGUGCGACUAGAGUGCAGAAGGGGCAACUGGAAUUCUCGGUGUAGCGGUGAAAUGCGUAGAUAUCGAGAGGAACACCUGCGGCGAAGGCGGGUUGCUGGGCUGACACUGACGCUGAUGCGCGAAAGCCAGGGGAGCGAACGGG
rnacentral:rRNA from 1 species